rnacentral:rRNA from 1 species
GCGGUGGAGCAUGUGGUUUAAUUCGAAGCAACGCGCAGAACCUUACCAGCCCUUGACAUCCCGGUCGCGGAUCGCAGAGAUGCUUUCCUUCAGUUCGGCUGGACCGGUGACAGGUGCUGCAUGGCUGUCGUCAGUUCGUGUCGUGAGAUGUUGGGUUAAGUCCCGCAACGAGCGCAACCCCCGCCUUCAGUUGCCAACGGUUCGGCCGUGCACUCUGGAGGAACUGCCUGUGACAAGCAGGAGGAAGGUGGGGAUGACGUCAAGUCCUCAUGGCCCUUAUGGGCUGGGCUACACACGUGCUACAAUGGCGGUGACAGAGGGAUGCAAUACCGCGAGGUGGAGCAAAUCCCUAAAAGCCGUCUCAGUUCGGAUUGUUCUCUGCAACUCGAGAGCAUGAAGUUGGAAUCGCUAGUAAUCGCAGAUCAGCUCGCUGCGGUGAAUACGUUCCCGGGCCUU